rnacentral:lncRNA from 1 species
AUGACGGGGUGUGCUUUGCUGGGGAGCGAGGAUGCGUUAAAUCUGCCUCAGCCCACUGCAUUUGUCAGAAAGCGAGCUUCCUCUCCCGGCGGUCAAAAGCAAGCAGGGCAGGAGAGGAGAGGCUGCGGGCUGCCACCGCCGGCACCCAGCGCACGGCUGUCUCCACAGACAGUGAGGGGAGAUGCCCAGCACGUAGACGCCAUGCCAAGGGCUUCCCAAGGGGCUCCCCGAGCAUCCCGCCUGAGGGAAGAGGAGGAGGGCGGGCAGCCGAGCGCUGAGGGGACGGGGACAGGGAGAGGCGAGGGCGGCAGCAGCCACCUCAGGGAGCCCGGGGCCGAAAGGGAAGGCUCUGCCCGCUCCAGCAGCAGCAGCAGCAGCAGCCGCCGCCUCCUCCCCGCUGGAAGCAGCGCAAGGAAGGGAGGAAGAAACAAGAGGCAGAAAAAUUGUAGGAUACUGAGCACUUAAAGCAGCAUAGUGUUCAAACGAGUGCAUCCCUAUCCUUGGGCACUGAGGAGGAAUCAUAACCAACUUCUUGUGCUGAAAAAGAAAGUCCCUGUGUUUUUUCUUGAUGCCUACUUUCUCAUGCCUACCUUCAUUAUGAUCUUUCUCUACAAGGAGUAGAAUCUAGCCCUAACUGCUCUAAAUUUUUAUGGGAUGUUUAAUAAACUGCUCCUGGUUUCAGUCUCUUUCCCCCA